UUUUNCUCAUCACAAGUGAGGGUAAGCCAGACUGGACAAAAAUGGCUGAGGAAAUGGCAAAAGAAAAGGGAGAAGAAAUGAAAGCCGCUGGUGAAAUGGAAGUUCGUGAUCGUCCAGUCAAUCUCACAGCUUUACAAGCUGACACUGAAGCUCCAUCCGCAUUGAUUUCAAGUCUGGAGACUAAGCUUUCAAGAUUCGUCGGUCCGUU